CCGACUCCUGUUCUCUGAAAUCUGAGUAAGACAGACAAAAUCGAUUUGAAGAAGAUAUUGAGUGGCAGCCUUUAUUUGAAUCGUCGGCACCAUUGAUCGAUUGUAGCCGGCUAAUGCAAUUUCGUUCUGGUUCCUGCAGUCCAAGUUCAAUUCUGUUUGUAAUUAGAAUUUGAAUUGUAUCCACGAGAGCCUUGCGAAGGUGAUUAAGCAAGUGGAUUUGGUCGCCAAUUCAUCCAUCGGAGCAGCUUGAGGUAUUCAGAGGAACUGAUUUACGGACAUUUGGGCAGUUUGCCGAUGGGGUGGAGCAAGGGUUUUAUGGACGAUGAUGGCAACUGUAAUAAGAGAAGAAAAUUCACAGAAAGCCUGAAUAGAUCAACUAAUCUUACAGAAAGGUAUUAUACCAAUAAAGUAGAGACUGCUGAAUGGGUUGAUGGUAGGAUCAGAUUGCAGUGUACACUGUUUGAAGGUAUUUCGCUGGUGAAUUCCGAAGUAGCUUGUGUGAAAUAUGAUAUUAGGAAGCUUUGUUCAAUGUUGCGGUGUUUGGAGCCCAACAUAUAGAGUGUGAGAAAGAAAAUCUGUGAAAUUGAACAGUCCUUAUCUGACAUGAAGGUUGGUGGUGUGGAAUCUAUUGUUGCCGAUGUUAUUAAAGUUUUGAAGACAACAAGUUUAAACACUAUGCCUCAGGUAGCGGAAAAGGUAGUAGAAUUCAAGGACAUAGAUGGCCAUAAUUUGUGGACAGACAUCACUAAGGAGAAAGAACCGAGAAAGUUAUGUCCAUGCACCCCAAUAGCUACUGAUGGCCUUCUGCACAUGAAAAUUUCUGACAAAGUUCCACACGAGAAGGUUGAUCAUAUGACAGAUGAGAAGGUGACAGAAUCGGCCGACAAAAAAACUUUGACGGGCUUCAACGACUCAAAGGUUAAAAACAAAAACGACGACAGAUUUCCGUC